rnacentral:rRNA from 1 species
GACGAACGCUGGCGGCGUGGAUUAGGCAUGCAAGUCGAACGGUAGAUAUCCUUCGGGGUAUUGAGAGUGGCGAACGGGUGAGUAACACGUAGGUAAUCUACCCUUCAAAUCGGGGACAACCCAGGGAAACUUGGGCUAAUACCGGAUGAGUGCAGCACCUAAAUCAUCCAUACGGAAAUCUGGUUAAGAUUGGGUUUUGUAUGGUUGGGUGAUUUAGGUGCUGUAUAAAAGAUGGCUUCGGCUGUCGUUUGAGGAUGAGCCUGUCGCUCUAUUAGUUAGUUGGUGAGGUAAUGGCUCACCAAGGCGAUGAUAGAUAGGCGGCCUUAACGGGUGGUCGCCCACACUGGGAUUGAGAUACGGCCCAGACUCCUACGGGAGGCAGCAGUCGAGAAUAGUCUACAAUGGACGAAAGUCUGAUAGUGCGACGCCGCGUGAACGAUGAAUCCCUUCGGGGUUAAAGUUCUUUUAUAUGUGAGCAAUGCCUUAUAUGUGAAUAG